CUGGGAGUGUUUGUACUGGAGGCAGCGAGCGGAGACGCCUGGUGUUUUCACAGUCAGAUUCUUUCCUGAGGCAGAAUGCAGUGGGACACGUUGGUGGUUUCUACACGGUGCCAGUGAGAGGGGGAGGUUUGCCUCAGGGCAGGUGUUUUUCUAGCGAGCAAAGCUUUAGGGACUCAAACCUACGCCUUCAGUGGAAAAUUUGGGG
rnacentral:lncRNA from 1 species